AAGUCGUAACAAGGUUUCCGUAGGUGAACCUUCGGAAGGAUCAUUACUGAGCAAGGGUCUUUCGAGGCCCGACCUCCCACCCUUUGUCGUCGAACAAAUCUUGUUGCUUUGGCGGGACCGUCGGUCCUCACGGAUCGGCUGCCGGGUCCCCGACCGGGUAAGCGCCCGCCAGAGACCAACUAAACUCUUCGUUUAAACGUUUCGUCCGAGUACAUGAUUAAAUAAAUCAAAACUUUCAACAACGGAUCUCUUGGUUCUGGCAUCGAUGAAGAACGCAGCGAAAUGCGAUAAGUAAUGUGAAUUGCAGAAUUCAGUGAAUCAUCGAAUCUUUGAACGCACAUUGCGCCCCUUGGUAUUCCGGGGGGCAUGCCUGUUCGAGCGUCAUUACACCAAUCAAGCACAGCUUGGCAUUAGGCCUUCCGUCCGCGGUCAAACGCGGGCGGGCCUCAAACCUCUCGGCGGAGUCAAUCCGGCUUCGGGCGUAGCAGAAUCUGUCAAAACGUCCGUGUGGCCGGGGGGUCUUCAGCCGUCAAACCACCAAUUUUUAAAGGUUGACCUCGGAUCAGGUAGGAAUACCCGCUGAACUUAA
rnacentral:rRNA from 1 species